UCUCCUCAAAAUUUUCUCACUUCUUGAACUUGAGUUCAGAGAUUUCAUCCUGAAGAACAUUAACUCACGAACCACUCACUUGUGUCGUCGUUCACUGUCUCUCACUCUUACCUCACACCCUAAUCUUGUUCGUUCACUCACCGUUGUCUCAACUCAUUCUCAUCUCACUCAUAAUUGUGUCGUGUUCAGUCAUAGGUUCGUUGGUGACGACGAUCACCAAAUUCUUCUUCUCGCUCUGAUGGUGAUGCUCACAUAGUUCGUUGAUAUGCACAUUACGCUGUUUGGUUCGGUUUGCAAGACAUUGUUGCAUUGUUACCAGAGCUGGAUUGAGACAAAGGUGUUGCGGUUUGGGAAGAAUCGGAGUGGUAUUAAGGGAAGCAGGAGGGAACACAGGUGUCUCAGACAAAUUCAGAUUUGGCUAUUUCAGAUGCUUUUCAGAUGACAGGAGUUGUUGAUUCUGAUGGAUGUCUCUGUUCAGCAGCACCCAAAAGUUGCUGCCAAGCCUUUAAAGGUUAUGCAUAGGUGAUCAACUAUUGAAUGAUGUUUGACUGUGGUCACUAGUAAAAAUACAUGUGGUUUGUCGGGAAAUAUGUCGAGGUUUUUUCGAAGCAAGUAUAAGAGACAUAAAGUGUUUGAAGAUGGAGGUGAAGACUAUGCAGAUGGAGAGAUCAUACAAAGUAGAAAAGACUAUGUGGAGAUUGGAAAAAGCAACUCUUAUGAGAAUGAUUUGUUAGUGUGACAUCCCAAUUAUAUAAUAACCACAAUCAUAUAAUAUAGGCGUCAACAUCCAAAUAAAGAGAACAGUUAGAGUAUGACGUGUAAUUAAGUGUGAAAUUAUAGUCAUCCAAAUAUGAAGAGAGAAUUUUAAACUUAAAC